UAGGGAAUCUUCGGCAAUGGACGAAAGUCUGACCGAGCAACGCCGCGUGAGUGAAGAAGGUUUCGGAUCGUAAAACUCUGUUGGUAGAGAAGAACGUUGGUGAGAGUGGAAAGCUCAUCAAGUGACGGUAACUACCCAGAAAGGGACGGCUAACUACGUGCCGG
rnacentral:rRNA from 1 species